GCGGAUUCUCACCUCACAGACAACAAAGUGCAGAUGUGCGUAUGAUGCAAAGCCACUAGACACUGACGCCCUGCAGAGGUGAACGUUGUGACAACAUGUGAAUCUAUAUGAAGUCAUCUCACCUUUGGAGGUCUCCAUUGACUCGAUUACACCACGUGACCGCUUGGAGGCGCUAUUGAGACACUUGCUGCUUUGGCAUCAUAUGAAGCAGCUCAAUGUCAUUCAGUCUCAGGUCAAAGUUGAGCACACACCCACCGCCUUUACUCUACAUUAAACACCACAAUUUCCAUUUCACGACUCAUUUACAACCAAAUGCAUUCUAAACGACCCUCAUAUCAUUCAGCAAAAACGCGUAUAUCAUCCACAGCUUAUAUCUGCUCGAGGUAGAACCUAAAAUAAUGAGAUCUAUAACAUAUAUUUCAUACUUUCGGUUCACUGACAGACGGGACAAAUCAUCUCUACUCUCCCACUCGCAAUCAGAGGAUGCUGUUAAAUGAUCCAGCAGAUGUAUAUAUAUAUAUAUAUAUAUAUCAAUGCAAAAUUAAUUAUCUCACUUGCACAUCCAAAAUUCGGUGCUAUUGGGUUGUGGUUUCUUUCACAUGGAUGCAUGUGCAAUUUAAAUCAAUAUAUUUCUUUCAUAAAAAUACUGUAUGCAUGUAUGAAAUGACAUUUUGAUCCAAAUACUUACUAAGAAUACAAUGGUGUUAAUGUGCUUUACCAUGCAUGGCUAUGUUUGUUCUGGUAAUACCACGGUUAAAUAAUUGAUCUGCAUUAUGCUGUUCAACAGCGUGAAAGAGCAAACCAUCAGUACGGUCAGAUGCAAACGCAGCCUGAUCAGAUGCAUCAUUAUUUUCUGAUGGUUACGCACUGGUUUGUGAUAUUGACAGUGUUUCAGAUGUUCAGUGAUGGUGAAAGCACAGAUUUGUGGAGAGGUGGCGCUCGUCGAGAUAAUCAGACUUGCACGCUUGCUGAUUUUCAGACAAAUUAAAUGUCAGGGGAAACGCAGCUCGCUCGAGUACUUUGAAAAGCUCCGACUAUCAUAAAUUAUUAAGGCCUCCUUUACUUUUCCCAAGCCUCUGAGAUCCGUCAUAGCGAAGCUGAAGUCUCCAAACUUUGUUCUGAAGUGAGGAAUUAACAGACUUCGGUGUCUGAUGGGAAUUCAGACACGCCGCACAAUCCAAACCUCAGCAAUCUGGGCACGUAGUUUAUAGGUGACAUGUUUUUCCUUUCUUUGAAUGAUAUCUAAUACCUUACUAUAGGGGAAAAUUGCAUAUUUCACAGUGCGAUAGGAAUGAAAAGUGAGAAACGGGUCCAGAGGAGAGGAAAAUAAAAUAGCAAAUAAAACAAAAUUAAAAUGAACUAAAAUAAAAUAGCACAAAAAAAUAAAUAACAAAAAGUACAACAUGAAACAAUAAUAAUAAUAAUAA